rnacentral:lncRNA from 1 species
CUGCUGCCCGACUACGAGGAGGCCGUCAAGCAGACCCCGCCGCCCUCCUACCGCGCCGCCACCCUCAUGACCGCCGACCCCGCCAACGCUGCUGACCAGGCGGCGAAGGAGGACAACCAGCCUCAAGUCACCAACACGAUGGUAAUGCUGCCCCCGAACGGCGCGCAGGCUCGCGUGUAAAUGUCUCGUAUAGCACCGCGGCACUGAAGGUUUCCAUUGAUACCACUGCUUUUAAACGAAAGGGUCACUAAAUUAUAAAUUUAUCAUCAUCAUUAUUAAAUAAUACCUACUCUUUUUCUACUUAUGUGCGACUAGAGGACGCUACUUUAUGUGAAAUUUAGUUUUUCAGAAAUGACGCUUCAACGAAGAAUUUUUCCGUGAUAAAAAGUAAUUUAUUUGUUGAUCCAGGGUAUAAAUCUAUUCAAAAUUUCAGCCAAAUAUAUUCAGUAGAAUUAGCGUCAAAAAGCAACGACCAUAAACACAAACUUCAGCUUUUAAAUAUAACGUUAAGAUAUUUCUCUCAAUUACCAUCUGGUGAAUUUCGUGACACCUAAAACUAUUAUUAUUUAAUUAAUUAUUAUUAUUAUAAAACAACCAACAUUUAUUUAAUGUGAUUUGAAGUACUGAUAAUAAAUAUACCAAAUUGCAUAUUCAGACUUUUAAGUCAGCUAGCUCAAAAUUACGUUUUCAGCUUCCCUAAUAUUUUCCGUAUCAUAGGUAAAAAUUAGGGAAGAAAAUAUAGGUAUCGAAUGGUAGCAAAGAUUUAAAGUGCUGUCUUCAUAAAAAGUGUUUUUAAUAUUAAUAAACAAUUUAUUGUGUCAA